rnacentral:rRNA from 1 species
AUGGUAGUUGGCUGCUAUCUAUUAUUUAUAGUAUGUCUGUAUGCUGAGGUUGCCAUUGCUGUUUGUAAGUCCCCAAUGGUGCUGUCAUUGUCUAAGGACCUGCUGCAGAGGAAGUCAGAGUUCCUGAUCUCUGAGGUGGGGUUGAAACCGGCAUACUUGGCACAUCGGUCGACAUUGCCCACUUACGGCCUGGAGGGCCGGCUAAUGCCCCGAUACUACGUUUUAAAGUUUCUCAAUGAAAAUGGAUUCAUAGAUCAAGACCAGGACUUCUUUAAUGCAGUCAUGGUCAGCGAGAAGAGGGGAAGUGUCUGCCAGAUUCAGUUUUACAUGAACCAAUACUGA